UUGUGUGAACAACUAUCUAAUCUUUGUUCACUAAUAAGAUUAAUCAAGUGUUACGCAACCAAGAGUUUUAAAGUUAUAAUGUAAUGUAAACUAAAACAAUGCAAUUAAGUAAAGGUUUGAAAAAUCAAUGGGAAAAUCCAAGGACUAAGGCACUAAGAACAAUAAUACUACAUUGUAGAACUUCAUUAGUUAGAUUAUUUGUCUUGGUUGUUGGUUCACGGGGUUUGCA
rnacentral:lncRNA from 1 species